UACGUAGGGUGCAAGCGUUGUCCGGAAUUAUUGGGCGUAAAGAGCUCGUAGGCGGUUCGAUAAGUCGGGUGUGAAACCUCCAGGCUCAACCUGGAGACGCCACCCGAUACUGUCGUGACUAGAGUCCAGUAGGGGAGCGUGGAAUUCCUGGUGUAGCGGUGAAAUGCGCAGAUAUCAGGAGGAACACCAGCGGCGAAGGCGGCGCUCUGGGCUGGAACUGACGCUGAGGAGCGAAAGCGUGGGGAGCAAACAGG
rnacentral:rRNA from 1 species